CUAGACGCACACGUGGGAAAUGACUAAGGUGUUUGCCUAGGAAUGGAAGAAGCACCUUCUGAACUCAGCCUCUGGGAUGUCAGCCUGAUAUCAGAGAACUUGAUGAGGAGCUGCAGUCCGUAGGAACGUAAGGAGAACCCUGCUGCAUCAGGCCAAAAGCUCAUCUUGACCAGCACCCUCUUUUCACAGUGGCAAACCAGAUUUCCAUGGGACGCCUCCAGCCAGGACCUGAAAGCAGCAACUCCCUCUCCCCACUUGCGAUUGGUACCAGAGGUAUAAAAUAAAUAGCGUUAAGGCCAAACAGGAUGCACGGGGGUGGGACUUGAAAAAUACUACAUAUUAAACAUUCAUUAAGAAAUAAUAAUAAUAAUAAUAAUAAUAAUAAUAAUAAUAAUAAUAAUAUGCUCCUUUAAAGUCAAAAAGGAAACCCAGUUGUGGGGUGUUUGUGU
rnacentral:lncRNA from 1 species